rnacentral:pre_miRNA from 1 species
UGGCAGAGUACGAGGCGAAAGAGGUAUGUAGAGAUCUCUUUCGCCUCGAACACUGUCAUC